rnacentral:misc_RNA from 1 species
UAAAACUCUGUUAUUCAUUCCUUAAUAGUACAGGAAACUGCAACAUCAGAGACAGAGAUGUGCUAAAUUACAGAAAGAACAAUUUUAUAUCAAACUAUUAUAAGUGGAAAUCCUAGAGCCUAAGGAACUUAACUUAUUGUGUUUUUCGAACAUUAAAGUCACUCAAGGUAUGAGUAUCAAGUUCUCUAAAAUCAAAAUAAACAUGGAACUACAGACAAGGGCAAGAGCAGCCUUAAUGCUUCUGGCGCUUAAGCAAUUUCUUGAACCAAUAUGCUGACAUCUUCGGGUAUCGUUUGAGGGUAUUGAAAUCAACAUAGACAAUGCCAAAUCUGGAAGUAUAACCCAAUCUCCAUUCGAAGUUGUCAAGCAAUGACCACGCGAAGUAGCCUAUGACAUUAGCUCCAUCAUCCACUGUCUUCUUCAGUUGUUGCAAAUAGCUCUUAUAGUAGUUGAUCCUUUUGGUGUCAUGUAAAGCUUUUGGAAGUGUAAUGUUGCCCGCAUAAUCCAUACCAUUUUCUGCUAGAAUAAUGGUAGGAUUUCCGUAGUGUUCUUUAACAUAGUUGAUAGCUUUAUAUAGACCCCAUGGCACAAUGUAGAGCCAAUAUGAGUGUGCCCUAGGACCAAUUGGUACUCCCUUGCGGUCAUAAGCAAAUCCAACAUUCCAGUCCUGUUGGUAGCCCAAGGGUUGCGGUGUGGUAUAAUGAGGGUCAUACAUGUAGUAGGAAGUGUACUGGUUUAUGCCCACAUAAUCAAAUGAUCCCUUCACCAUCUUAACUUCUUCUUUCGAGAACUUGGGUAAUCGCGUUCCCACAAUAUUUUGCAUGGUUUUUGGGUACUCACCAUAUACAAGAGGAUGCAAGAACCAUCCCAAAUGAAAGUCUCUAGCUCUUUGGGCAGCAUAGUUGUCGGCUUUUCCUUUUGUUAGAGGUUCGUACCACACAAAAUCCAAUAGAAUGCCAAACUUCCCUUUCUGUUUCUCUUGAUACUUUUCACGGUAUCUCUGUGCUGCAGAAGCAUGACAUAAGAUGAGAUUGUGUGCAACAAUAUAAGGCUCAGUAGCGGAAUCCCCUUCUGUGCAGUUUCCAAAAGGCUUUGAACAUCUUCCAGGUGCAAAGAAUCCGUUAUCGUACCCCAAGGCAGCAACCACUCUUGGCUCAUUAAACGAGAACCAAUUCUUCACUCUGUCUCCAAAUGUCUUAAAACAAAACUCUGCAUAAUCAGCAAAAUCCUUCACGACUUCACGGCCCAACCAUCCGUUGUACCUAUCUUGAAGUGCUUGCGGUAAAUCAUAGUGAUUCAGAUUAGCAUAUGGGGUAAUACCUCUUUUGAGCAUAUAAUCGAUCAAUCUAUUAUAAUAAGCAACUCCCUUCCAGUUCACUUUACCAGUUCCAUUUGGGAAGAUCCGUGACCACGAAAUUGAAAAGCGAUAAGCUUCAAAGUUCAGCUUCGCCAUCAGAUCAAUAUCUUCCUUGUAUCGAUGAUAUUGAUCGACAGCAAUUUCUCCAUUGGCAUUGUUUGGUUCAAGCCCAGGUAUUUUAAGGAAAGUGUCCCAAAUACUAGGUCCACGGCCUUCAGUACUGGCAGAACCUUCAACUUGGUAGGCUGAAGUUGCUGUUCCGAAUAUAAAUCCCUUCGGAAAACUUUCUCUACUCAAACCUCCGGUGUCUAAUAUGGUAUUUUCCGGCGACACGUCAUCAUCAUCAUCGUCAGAAUGUACGGUAAGUACAGUAGCUGAAAUUAGCAGAAGCAAAAUUAGACAUGGAGGAUUUGCUUUCAUUAUUACUAAUUUUAGUUAAUGAAUUGAGUGGAA